CAGCAUUCUGAACAGCAACGCUCAUCAUAUAAACAUGAGGUUUCCUCCAAAAGGAAUGAUGACUAAUGCUUUGAGGAGCAAGCCCAGAAAAACCCGCCAGUACCAAGAGGGUGUCCUCAACAAGCACCUGGGGCACUUAUUAUUCUAACUGAAGGGACCAGAGCUUCCCCAGGAAGGGAAGAGGAGAGAAAUGAAGACCGUCUGUGUUCAUGUUUGCCAAAAACAAAAGGCUGAGAAAUCUCUGAGAGACUCUACAUGGGAAGGCACUAAUCGAAGCACCUCAUUUAAAGUGGGAAAAGCUUUGCUAAGGGCAGAUGAUUCAGCACGGUAUCCUUCGAUGAGUACUGUCAUCUCAAAUCAUUUUUAAGAAGAAAAGUGCAACCCGCUGGAGAAAGAGAGGGACUCCGAGGAAGGAGAGAGAGAAGAGCAUCAAACACAAAUGAUGAUCUCCUAGGACAGUGGCAGCUUCCGAGAACGCACAGGAAAGUGACCAGGGAAAGAAUGAUUCCAUCUCCAGGAAUCCCUGGUGCUCUUCAGAGCCCAGACAGGCCCCUGCUGGGCCAUGGUAACU